rnacentral:rRNA from 1 species
AUUGAACGCUGGCGGCAUGCUUUACACAUGCAAGUCGAACGGUAACAGGCCGCAAGGUGCUGACGAGUGGCGAACGGGUGAGUAAUGCAUCGGAACGUGCCCAGUCGUGGGGGAUAACGCAGCGAAAGCUGUGCUAAUACCGCAUACGAUCUAUGGAUGAAAGCGGGGGACCGUAAGGCCUCGCGCGAUUGGAGCGGCCGAUGUCAGAUUAGGUAGUUGGUGGGGUAAAGGCCCACCAAGCCAACGAUCUGUAGCUGGUCUGAGAGGACGACCAGCCACACUGGGACUGAGACACGGCCUAGACUCCUACGGGAGGCAGCAGUGGGGAAUUUUGGACAAUGGGCGCAAGCCUGAUCCAGCAAUGCCGCGUGCAGGAAGAAGG